ACCGGAGCUUGCUCCACCGGGAAAAGAGGAGUGGCGAAUCGGGUGAGUAACACGUGGGUAACCUGCCCAUCAGAAGGGGAUAACACUUGGAAACAGGUGCUAAUACCGUAUAACAAUCGAAACCGCAUGGUUUCGUUUUGAAAGGCGCUUUACGGUGCCGCUGAUGGAUGGACCCGCGGUGCAUUAGCUAGUUGGUGAGGUAACGGCUCACCAAGGCCACGAUGCAUAGCCGACCUGAGAGGGUGAUCGGCCACAUUGGGACUGAGACACGGCCCAAACUCCUACGGGAGGCAGCAGUAGGGAAUCUUCGGCAAUGGACGAAAGUCUGACCGAGCAACGCCGCGUGAGUGAAGAAGGUUUUCGGAUCGUAAAACUCUGUUGUUAGAGAAGAACAAGGGUGAGAGUAACUGUUCACCCCUUGACGGUAUCUAACCAGAAAGCCACGGCUAACUACGUGCCAGCAGCCGCGGUAAUACGUAGGUGGCAAGCGUUGUCCGGAUUUAUUGGGCGUAAAGCGAGCGCAGGCGGUUUCUUAAGUCUGAUGUGAAAGCCCCCGGCUCAACCGGGGAGGGUCAUUGGAAACUGGGAGACUUGAGUGCAGAAGAGGAGAGUGGAAUUCCAUGUGUAGCGGUGAAAUGCGUAGAUAUAUGGAGGAACACCAGUGGCGAAGGCGGCUCUCUGGUCUGUAACUGACGCUGAGGCUCGAAAGCGUG
rnacentral:rRNA from 1 species